CUGCGAUCAUGUGGCGGCCGAACCGGGACUGGUUCUUCCGCCUCGGGCGGACUUCACCUGGACGGGCGACUCUGGCUGUUCUCCCAGGACGGUCUGCGCCCGCGGCGUCCAGACCUUCGCAGCCGCAGUUCCCCACCGUCCUUCAUUGUUAACGCGCUCCUCGCGGCCCCUGGAAGCCUAAAAGCUGGAAGGAAGGCGCGCCGUGCCCUUGGGGUGUCCCGGCCUGGCGACCACGCGGAGAUCACGCAGAGCCGACUGGCGGCGGCGGCGCGUCCACCUGUACGCCCCACCCGCGCUGCUUCUGCGGCACACCCAGCGGUCUCCAGUGCUGGCCGCGGCCUCUGGCCGCUAUCGCCUUCGGAGGGGCCCGGAAUGGGAAGCCCGUUCCCCGUAUGCGCCUCUGGGACCUCCAAGAAGAUACCAAAGCGGUCCAGCUUUACUCAUUCGUGUCUAGUGAAGCACAUUUGUCUCAGGUCCACGCCAUGAAAGAAAUGAUUAGACUUUUGCCGAGCCAGACCGAUCUGCUUUGGCGCCCACGGGUAUCGGGGCCCUUCCCUGCCAUUUGACUCCCUGGAAAUGCCUGAAAGCCACGUUACCAUUUUUUUAAAGGUACUGGGGAUUGAACCCAGGGCCUUUGCCUGAACUACACCUCCCACUCUUUAUCUUGAGACAGAGCCUCGGCUGCAAGGAGUCGUCCUCCAGAUUCGUUAGUAGAGGAAAUACUCUUACCUCUGACUUUCUGACGGGAGAGCGGCAAAGUGCUAGGUUCCUAGGGAGAAGGGAGAGGAUGGAGGGGAAGUAGGGCUCCCUGCCAGAAUCCCGGAGAAUCCAGGAGGGGCCCUGCAGCCAUCCAUCAGAUCCGUGAGAAUUGUGUGAACCUGUGAACAACAGGACUGCUGGGCUUUCUCUGGCCACAUGUCUCAGGGGCAGCCGUGUUAUUGGAGAGUAAAAGUCCCAAACUAGGCCUCUUCCGGAUUCGCCAGAACCAGAACCAGAACCACUUCUGUUUCCCCUCCUGGAUAACAAACCACGGGAAUUUAAAUCCAUCACACACACACUCCUCCAGGUGGCUGGUCAUGGAGGCACUGCCCUCGCACCUGAACAGAAACCGCCUGAUAUGACUCAGAACUGAGAGGGAGUCACUGUCCCUGGUGAGGGCCAUGCGGGCCUCUGUGAAUACACAGAAGGAAGAUCUGGAAGGUGCCUGAGGAAUCGCAGUCCUUAUCAACCAGAUGAGGCCGGGGGCGCCAAAUUCCCUGGCACUGACUGUACUGUGAAAUAUACAUCAUUUCUCACGUGACCUCAGCAGUGGAACAGUCUCAGGCCACGCCUGCCCCAUUGCUUGCCUUUUCCCACUAGGCCCCACCUCCUAAUCCCAAAUCAACUAUGGACUCAUCUGUGGAUUAAUCCAUGGGUUUCCGGGUGACAGGAGAACAUCCUGCCAGCCAGGUCUCUGCACCUGCAGGCCGCACACAGGAGCUCGGCGCCCUCACCUGCUCCUCCAGUCUCGGAAGAGGACCUGAAGGUCUGGCAGCCUUGGCCCAGCUUCCCAGCCACCUGCUCCAGAGCCAGCAGCGGGGCCAGCUGUGGCCGCUCUCUCAGGGCUGACUAGGAGGUCCCAGGUGUCCAUGUAGCUCUGACCCCAUGGCGCACGCACAGGGAAAACUCACCUGCUCGAGACAGGAGCCGCAGGCAAGGGACAGCGUAGCCCAGACUGCUCCCCUGGCACCAAGAGGCCCAAGUUCCGUCCUCAGUGCCACAAAAGCGGAAGAACAGCAGCUCCCUAAUGCUCAGUGCACUGCCCUCCAGGGGCCACACUGCUCUGGUGACAGCACUCGUGACAGCAGCCGG
ensembl:lncRNA